AGGUUAAGUUAACAAGGGCGCAUGGUGAAUGCCUUGGCACUAGGAGCCGAUGAAGGACGGGACUAACACCGAUAUGCUUCGGGGAGCUGUACGUAAGCUAUGAUCCGGAGAUUUCCGAAUGGGGCAACCCAGCAGUUUUAAUCAACUGUUACCACUAGAUGAAUUCAUAGUCUAGUUGGAGGUAAACGCUGUGAACUGAAACAUCUCAUUAGCAGCAGGAAUAUAAAGAAAUUUCGAUUCCCUAAGUAGCGGCGAGCGAACGGGGAACAGCCCAAACCAAAGUGCUUGCACUUUGGGGUUGUAGGACUGAACAUUUGAGUUACCAAAGAACUUGAUAGUCGAAGGAUUUGGGAAAAUCCGCCAUAGAUGGUGAUAGCCCAGUAGAUUAAAUCAAAUUCUCUCAGUUCAGGAUCCUGAGUACGGCGGAACACGUGAAAUUCCGUCGGAAUCCGGGAGGACCAUCUCCCAAGGCUAAAUACUACCUAGUGACCGAUAGUGAACCAGUACCGUGAGGGAAAGGUGAAAAGCACCCCGGGAGGGGAGUGAAAUAGUUCCUGAAACCAUGUGCCUACAAUAAGUCAGAGCGCGUUAAUGCGUGAUGGCGUGCCUUUUGUAGAAUGAACCGGCGAGUUAUGAUCCCGUGCAAGGUUAAGACUAAAAAGUCGGAGCCGUAGCGAAAGCGAGUCUGAAAUGGGCGUUUUGAGUACGAGGUUAUAGACCCGAAACCAGGUGACCUAUCCAUGUCCAGGUUGAAGGUGCGGUAAAACGCACUGGAGGACCGAACCCGUGUAAGUUGAAAAUUGCUGGGAUGAGGUGUGGAUAGCGGUGAAAUUCCAAACGAACUUGGAGAUAGCUGGUUCUCUCCGAAAUAGCUUUAGGGCUAGCCUCGGAAUUAGGAUCAUGGAGGUAGAGCACUAUUUGGACUAGGGGCCCGUCUUGGGUUACUGAAUUCAGAUAAACUCCGAAUGCCAUUGAUUCAUAUCCGGGAGUCAGACGAUGAGUGAUAAGAUCCACCGUCGAAAGGGGAACAGCCCAGACCAUCAGUUAAGGUCCCUAAAUGUAUGCUAAGUGGAAAAGGAUGUGGAGUUGCAUAGACAACUAGGAUGUUGGCUCAGAAGCAGCCACCAUUUAAAGAGUGCGUAAUAGCUCACUAGUCGAGUGAUCCUGCGCCGAAAAUGUACCGGGGCUAAGCAUACUACCGAAACCAUGGAUGCGACCAUUAGGUCGCGUGAUAGGAGAGCGUUCUAAGGGCGGUGAAGCAAGAUCGUGAGGACUUGUGGAGCGCUUAGAAGUGAGAAUGCCGGUAUGAGUAGCGAAAGAUAGGUGAGAAUCCUAUCCACCGAAUGACUAAGGUUUCCUGGGGAAGGCUCGUCCUCCCAGGGUUAGUCGGGACCUAAGUCGAGGCCGAGAGGCGUAGACGAUGGAUAACAGGUUGAGAUUCCUGUACUAGUUAAGUGCGUUUGAGCAAUGGAGGGACGCAGGAGGCUAAGAUGUGCAUUCUGUUGGAUUAGAAUGUCCAAGCAGUAAGUCUUGUGAAGAGUCAAAUGCUUUUCACUUUAAGGACAAGCUGUGAUGGGGAGCGAAAUUUAGUAGCGAAGCGUCUGAUGUCACACUGCCGAGAAAAGCUUCUAGUGAGUACUUAACUACCCGUACCGCAAACCGACACAGGUAGUCGAGGAGAGAAUCCUAAGGUGAGCGAGUGAACUCUCGUUAAGGAACUCGGCAAAAUGACCCCGUAACUUCGGGAGAAGGGGUGCUGAUCGCAAGAUCAGCCGCAGUGAAUAGGCCCAGGCGACUGUUUAUCAAAAACACAGGUCUCUGCAAAAUCGUAAGAUGACGUAUAGGGGCUGACGCCUGCCCGGUGCUGGAAGGUUAAAAGGAUGGGUUAGCUUCGGCGAAGCUCAGAAUUGAAGCCCCAGUAAACGGCGGCCGUAACUAUAACGGUCCUAAGGUAGCGAAAUUCCUUGUCGGGUAAGUUCCGACCCGCACGAAAGGCGUAACGAUCUGGGCACUGUCUCAACGAGAGACUCGGUGAAAUUAUAUUGUCCGUGAAGAUGCGGACUACCCGCGACAGGACGGAAAGACCCCAUGGAGCUUUACUGUAGCUUGAUAUUGAGUGUUUGUACAGCUUGUACAGGAUAGGUAGGAGCCAUAGAAACCGGAACGCUAGUUUCGGUGGAGGCGUUGGUGGGAUACUACCCUCGCUGUAUGACCACUCUAACCCGCACCACUAAUCGUGGUGGGAGACAGUGUCAGGUGGGCAGUUUGACUGGGGCGGUCGCCUCCUAAAAAGUAACGGAGGCGCCCAAAGGUUCCCUCAGAAUGGUUGGAAAUCAUUCGCAGAGUGUAAAGGCACAAGGGAGCUUGACUGCGAGACAGACAGGUCGAGCAGGGACGAAAGUCGGGCUUAGUGAUCCGGUGGUACCGUAUGGAAGGGCCAUCGCUCAACGGAUAAAAGCUACCCUGGGGAUAACAGGCUUAUCUCCCCAAGAGUCCACAUCGACGGGGAGGUUUGGCACCUCGAUGUCGGCUCAUCGCAUCCUGGGGCUGUAGUCGGUCCCAAGGGUUGGGCUGUUCGCCCAUUAAAGCGGUACGCGAGCUGGGUUCAGAACGUCGUGAGACAGUUCGGUCCCUAUCCGUCGCGGGCGUAGGAAAUUUGAGAGGACCUGUCCUUAGUACGAGAGGACCGGGAUGGACAUACCUCUGGUGUACCAGUUGUGCCGCCAGGCGCAUCGCUGGGUAGCUACGUAUGGAUGUGAUAAACGCUGAAAGCAUCUAAGUGUGAAACACACCUCGAGAUGAGAUUUCCCAUUCCUUUAUGGAAGUAAGACCCCUGAAAGAUGAUCAGGUAGAUAGGUUAGAAGUGGCAGUGUGGUGACGCAUGAAGCGGACUAAUACUAAUCGGUCGAGGACUUAACCAAG
rnacentral:rRNA from 1 species